UAUUGAAGAUGCUUCCAAAAUAUUACGAACAUGUAAAGAGGCACGACAACACACUCAUAACAAAAUUCUUUGGGCUCCAUCAUAUUACAUUGAGAGGUGGACGGGAGGUGCGAUUUGUUGUCAUGGGAAAUAUGUUCUGCACAGGACUAAGAAUUCACCGUCAUUAUGAUUUGAAAGGCUCAUCUCAUGGAAGAAGUACAAACGAACAUGAUAUUGAUGAAAAUACCACAUUGAAAGAUCUUGAUCUGAAAUAUGAAUUUUAUUUGGACAAGUCCUUGCGGGAUUCCCUUUUUAAACAAAUUUCUCUAGACUGCACGUUUCUAGAAUCUCAAUGCAUAAUUGAUUACAGCCUCCUACUGGGACUGCAUUUUAGGGCUCCUGAGCAUUUGAAGGCCCCAUUAGGAUCUGCAGAUGUAUUGGACCAUGAAAGUUCACUAGCCGGUGAUGGUACAUCUUCACAUGGGGAACUCUUGAUCCCAUCUAAGGGUCUGCUUCUUGUGACACAUGAACCUGGAGUUAGCAUUCCACCAGGUCCUCACAGUAGAGGAAAUCCAUUGAGAGUAUCAUCUGCAGGCAAUAAGGAAGUUGAUCUUUUUCUUCCUGGUACUGGAAGGUUGACAGUGCAAUUAGGAGUACACAUGCCAGCUCAAGCUAAUCGCAAGCUUCCACAUGCUGAAGCUGACUCUACGGAGGCUGAGCUCUUUGAGGUUUAUGAUGUUGUUCUUUAUCUUGGCAUUAUUGAUAUAUUGCAGGAAUACAACAUGAAAAAGAAAAUUGAGCAUGCAUGCAAGUCACUACUACACUCUGAUCCUCUAUCAAUAUCUGUUAUUGAACCCAAGCAGUACCAUGAACGCCUUAUCAAUUUCUUGGAGGAGAAAGUUUUCCCACAUAAAACCUGAACAGAGCCUGUUUCUUGGUUAUUUUGUUUAAAACUACAAUUCAUUAGGAGGUAGAGGCGAGUUGGUUCUGGGUAUUCCAGCUUCUCUGGGUUCUGGCCCUUAGAAUGAAGAAUUCUAACUCCCAUUUGGGGCUUCAUUGGCCUGAAAAGCCCAACUUUGAAAGUUGAUACAUUUACAACUCAAGCACAAUUUACAUUAAGUGCAAGGGCCAGGGGGCCUGAGAGCCUCUUAACCAGAAGCAAUCUCUUUCAGUUCCACUAGGAAUGAUGCAUUUGCCCUGAUCUGAAUGAUGCAGGAUGGUUACCGAGUGUUUCAUAAAUUUUGUAAAUAGCAUAUAAGCAACUACAAAUUGAAGAAGUUCAAAAGAAUAAUCCAUGGUUAAGCUUGAAAUUAUGUGGAAUCUGAAGAAGCUUAGCACUGCUGUAGAAGAUGGGGGAUAUACCUGAUGAGUCAACUUUGAAUCAUACUAUAUCAAUUAAUGCAUCAAUACCAAUCAAAUGAUGACGAUGACGAUGAUGAUGGUUGAAGAAGGGUUUUACUGUUAGUCUUGAUAGAUGAUGGCUUAUCUGAGCAUCUAUCUAAAAUGUACAUUGAAUCCAGUAUGCUAUAUGCCAACCCUAAUUUUGGAUCACUAACUUCUUUGCCCAUAAGCUCUUCUGGGCCAUAUUUGAUCUGGUGGUGUGUUCAUGUGUUUCUAACGUAUGGUACUCUUUUUUAUAUAUUCUUUUCAGUA